GAAAGCUCAGUCGGUUAGAGCAUGGUGCUGAUAACGCCACGGUUGCAGGUUCGAUCCCCUACGGGACAGCUGCA
rnacentral:tRNA from 1 species